GCUAAACAUGAAAAGAUUUCUAAGACAUCGUAUCUGCAAACAGUUGCAGAAUGGAUUACUUGUCUGCAAGAAUGGAAGCAGGGGGAGCUGUUAGGAGGCUAUUUCAACAGACCAGCAGAAAGAUAGAAGGAGAUUUGGGAUAUCCUGGAGACAAACCAAGAAUUAUUCAUAAGGAAUCUG